GCCGGGGUAGCUCAGUGGUAGAGCAAACGGCUCAUAAUCGUUAGGUCGCGGGUUCGAAUCCCGCCUCCGGCACCA
rnacentral:tRNA from 1 species